AUUUUGUUAAUAAUAAAGAUCUACCCAUUUCCCGAAGCCGCAGGAAGCCCCAAGCUCUACCAAGCAUUUUAUAGGUGCACUGCUGUUACCUGGGCACCUCCCACAAUUCUCCUUCCAGGACUGCAAGCCUGCAUGCAUUUUCUGUUGCUUCCUGAGAAAGACCUGGGAGCCAUGGCUUUAGCCUGAAAGUUCUUGAGUCUUUUUAGGAAGAAUCUGAACUGCAAAACACUUGUCCUUUAUAUUUAUAACUGGUCAAAAUAACGCUGGAGUUAAUGUUACAUCUGUUACAGAAAAUGAAACCUCCUGAGCUGUCCGGUAAUAGAAAGAAGCUGCAGAACCCUGUUGUCUUCAUCUUUUGUUUAACUCAUGCAACAUUUGAAAGCACGUUUGCCUACAAGAAAUAAAACUUAAGUUGUGAAAUGGCUUAUUAAUGAACUCAGAUGACAAGAAACCAAAACAGCGGGCCUGGCUGAAGGAUUCAUCCCUAGCCCUGAAAGCCAGCGGGGUCUUUCUGUAACAUCAAAGGCACAAACAAUUGAACCGACAUGGGGACUUAUUCUGUCCAGCAGCCCUGGUGGCCUCAGACCAUCCGAAGCAAGGGUAACCUACCAGAAAGCUGCUAGAUGUUCCCCACUACAGUGAAGGAUUAAACAAAGAAUGAAGAAGAAGUAGGACUCAAGAAGUAAAUGAUCCAACUCAAGAAAGAGGUAAAGGGAAUUCUCAGGAUAAAGGCUCAACCAGGCCUGGAAAACAAACUGUCCACAUUGGAACAAGAGAAAGGAGGGAAUCAAGGAAAAAAAAGGGAUCUGGGGUGGAGGUGGGGGUGUAAAAGUGCUCAGCUAUCUAAAAUGUUUAAUUAGGCCAGGCGUGGUGGCUCAUGCCUGUAAUCAUGCCUUUGGGAGGCAGAGGCAGAUGGAUCACCUGAGGUCAGGAGUUCGAGAUCAGCCUGGCCAACAUGGUGAAAUCCUGACUCUACCAAAAAUACAAAAAUUAGCUGGGUGUGGUGGUGGACGCCUAUAAUCCCAGCUACUCGGGAGGCUGAGGCAGGAGAAUCGCUUGAACACGGGAGGCGGAGGUUGCAGUGAGCAGAGAUUGCAGCAUUGCACUCCAUCCUGGGUGAAACAGAAAGACUUUGUCUCAAAGAAAAAAAUAAAUAAAAAUAAAUAAAUGAUAAAUAAAUAAAUAAAAUAAAUAAAAUGUUUUAUUAUAUGAAAAAUUGUAUUGGGAAGCUAUUGGAAAACAUGGAAAGAAUUAGAGAUAAAGAAAACAAAAAUUUAAAAAAAAUACAAUAACUAACAAGGUAGUACAAAUUAGUUUGGACAGAGAAAGUUCAACUCUUUCCUACUGUUCAUCAGAUCGGGAAGAUAGAGACAGAUAAUGCUAAUGUUUCUUUCUCUCAGGGACACAGGGCAGCUAUAAAGUGUCAUAAUGAUUCCCUAAGAAAUCCCUAAAGCCAUGCACUAUGAGAAACUUUGCUAAUUGAAAUAAACAUCAGCAGGAAUGAAACAUCCCACUCUUGCCUGGAAGAUCUAAGUCACUCUGACACAAAAAAAGGCAGCCUUGAUUUACAACCCAGGUGCAGAACUUCAGAUACGAAUUUUGUGUGAUUUCUAAGGAAAUAGGAGCCUGGGUCCCCCUCUGCAGUCCAGACCUGAUGUUAAUCUCUUCCCACACAGCCCUGCUUUGCACCUAUCGAAACACUACUUCAUUUAAAUUUAACCUAAAUUCUGGCCGGGCACGGUGGCUCACGCCUGUAAUCUCAGCACUUUGGGAAGCUGAGGUGGACAGAUCACGAGGUCAAGAGAUCGGGACCAUCCUGGCCAACAUGGUGAAACCCUGCCUCUACUAAAAAUACAUAAAUUAGCUCGGCGUAGUGGCACGU
rnacentral:lncRNA from 1 species